ensembl:snoRNA SNORA62 Small nucleolar RNA SNORA62/SNORA6 family
ACUGCACGUGGUCAGAGCUUGGACCUGAGGCCGCUGGCUGGCCGAUGAACGCACAAGUGUAGGUAGUGUGCUACACGAGGGUCAAGUCUUUCGCUAACACCGCAAGGGUCUCUGGCCCAACGAGUGGAGUUUGGUAGUAAUUCUUGCUACAAGU